rnacentral:rRNA from 1 species
UACAGAGGUCUCAAGCGUUGUUCGGAUUCAUUGGGCGUAAAGGGUGCGUAGGCGGGCAGGUAAGUCCGUGGUGAAAUCUCUGAGCUUAACUCAGAAACUGCCGUUGAUACUAUCUGUCUUGAAUAUUGUGGAGGUGAGCGGAAUAUGUCAUGUAGCGGUGAAAUGCUUAGAUAUGACAUAGAACACCAAUUGCGAAGGCAGCUCGCUACUCAAUUAUUGACUCUGAGGCACGAAAGCGUGGGGAUCAAACAGG